rnacentral:rRNA from 1 species
GACGAACGCUGGCGGCGUGCUUAACACAUGCAAGUCGAGCGAGGUUCAACCGGUGGCAACACCGGGGAAGACCGAGCGGCGAACGGGUGAGUAACACGUGAGCAACCUGUCCCGAAGACUGGGAUAACACCGGGAAACCGGUGCUAAUACCGGAUACCCCCACUGAAUCGCAUGGUUCGGUGAGGAAAGAUUUAUUCGCUUCGGGAGGGGCGUCGCGGGCUAUCAGCUUGUUGGUGAGGUAACGGCCCACCAAGGCUACGACGGCUCGCUGGUCUGAGAGGACGACCAGCCACACUGGGAC